UGGGUGUUAUUCAUUUGGUAGUACCAGUCCAUUCCAGCUAGGGAUCUGUCCCUUUGUUUUGUGUAUAGGACAAUUUGUUUUCAAUUUUUGUUUCUGAAAGGAAACUGUCAAGACAAAAUUCACACUUAAAAAAAAUUAAGGGAAACAGCCCUUUGUCCUUUUCUAACAAUCCCCCUCAAUGACUAAAGCUGGAAGAAUUGUAGAAACUGCGAUCAUUUUCUACCUUGGGUUUGGUUUUGUGCUGUUCUUGCAUUUUCUGAGUUUCAAAUCCAAUGCACCAAAAAGACUUCAGUCCCAAAUCACCCUGAUAACAUCAGUGUAACCUAGAGAUCUGUGCUCUGAUGACUAAAAUCUGAUUGUCCUUUAUUUAGAAGUGGAACCGGGGCGGCAGGGAGCUGAGAGCAGCCUGGGCAGUAUUCCCCUUUUCUUCUAGCACACACAGUCCCGCACUGGCUUUGCAGUCUGAGAAAGAACACGUAAAGCCUCCACAAAGGGGGUCCCUGGAACAGCACGUAUACAUCCUCGCUAGAAUCUGCCAGCGACCAGAUGCAAGUAAAAUAAAAUCGGGGGCGAGAUAGCUACCCAGGCUGAAAUCUGCAAUGGUGCCGAUUCCCUGUUUUGCUGUACCCUGGGUGUGCUCUGUCUGCUUGUGGUGGGAUCCUGGCUGCUGGGAGGCUGUGGUCUCCCUGGGGCAGGGGCUCAUCAGAUUUUCUUCCGUGUUGGUACAACAGCAAGUGCCGCAGGGACCUGGUCCUUGCCUGGGGCUCCUUGCAACUACAAAGAGUUGUUUAUUGUCAAUCCAAGAAAAAGAGGGGGGGGAGGAAAAAAAAAAGAAGAACUUUUGAAAAUAAUAACAGCAUGCAUCUCAUUUAAUCUUAGUCCUAAAAACUACUUCAUACUCAUUACAAAGGAAUUGAUUCCUUAAAUGAAUGAAGCAGCCAUGAGUGCUGCUUUCAGUGUGGGACUGCUGACGCUCUGACUCAUGCUUUGCUUCUUGCAGGCUCUGGCUUUUAUGCUUCAUUUAGGACACCAACGUCAUUAGCAUUCAGAGGGCUGCUGCUUCUUUUUGGUUAUUAUUAUUAUUAUACUGCUGUUGUCAUUUUUUCAAAAGUGCAACUCAUAUUUGGACCAGAAUCAUGGCUGAUGUUUUAUUACCAAAUCAGGGCAUGGGGUUUGCUUUCGUUUGACUUGCAAGCCAUAGAAGAAAUGCUAAAUGAAAAUAAGGUGUAGCUUUGUACGGUAAUGCGAGGAUCUCAGGGUUUUUUUGGAUGCCAGGCUGCCUGCUACUGUGGAGUGUCAUCCUCUGUCAGGAUGGGUGAGGAUAUUUUGUCUUGUGUUGGACAUGGCUGGGAUCCUGGUGACUGCCCCAAGCCUCGGCAUUUCCACUGCAUGCAGAGCGGCCGCGCCAGCCUGCCGUGCGUGUCCCUGGAGAUGGCAUGUUUGAACUGCAGCAGCUCCAAACAAGAUGCUGCUCUGUGUGGCUGAAUGUGGCGACUCGGCCUCUUUAUUUUGGAGCUGAAUGUCAACACCCGGGCUGGGGCCAGCGAGCGCUCGGGCCUGGGCAGGGAGCAGGGGAGCUGUGCCCUGGGAGAUGGCUGUGCUGCCACUCACAGCUCACCCCGGUCCUCAGAGACGCUCAACCACUGGUGGUCUUCCUAGCCUGUGGGAAGCGGGGAAAGGAGCCUUUGCUGAGGGACACAAUGUCUUUACUGCAAGGGGGGAGGAAAAAAGAAAAAAAAAGAAUGUCCCUGAGAGUCUCAGGGGUUCCUUGCUCUGCCACAAGCACCCUGGAAGCCCUCGAGCAUGUCACAGAGUCCCUCUCAAGGGCGAUAGCUUGCAGGGACACUUGCAAGCCCACCAUGGGGAUGGGGCCAUCCCAGCACCCUACAGACAGAGGUCAUGGGGAAACAACAGGGCAGAAUUGUGGGAAUCUGCCUAUGGUUUCUUUUGAGUCCACCUCCAUCAAAAUUCAAAUUACUGAUGAAUUAAAGGGAAAGUGUUGCUCCUUGUCCUAAGGACAUGCUGGGCUGGGCUGGGAUUUCCAGGAGGACUUGUGAAUGAGAGUUGAAAAUUCCCGGCCAACGACUUGGCACCUUUCUAGGAGGGAACCUAUAGAUCUUUUUUAGAUAUUACUUAAGCUGAAAGUUUUUGAGAAAUCAGUAGUAAUUCCCUAAUUAAAAUCCCGUCUUUAUUAAUAAAUUAAAAGCAACUGCUUCUGCAUUUGGGCAGACGGGUGUGACUUGUUCUUGCUGGGAGCUGGGUGCUGCGGCUGGGCAGCCCUGGGGUCUCUGCUCCUGGACAAAGCGCCAGUGCUCACCUGACAGCCAAUACCACGUGUAUUUGCAGAAGGUGUCCCUGCCUUUUGCCCCAGGGGUUUGGGGUGUCCAGGGCUGCUUGCAGCUGGGCCAGGCUCUGUUUGAAGGCGUUUCUGCCGAGCAACAGACGAGCCAUCUGGCGUCACACCGAAACGCAGCCUGGCCUGGCGUGCGCUGAGGAGGGAGCCUGCAGGGAUGACAAAGCAGUUCCACACCUUCCACUGGCCGUGUCAUGGCUGGGCACCGGGGCUCGGGGCGGCUCCUGGGCACGUCAGCACAGCCGGGUGUGCCAGCGUAAGACGGCAGAGCCAUGCUGGAGAGAAAGGCCCCUGUCAGACCUCUGCCCUUCUAGGGAUGGACUGAGCGGCAGCAAGAAAAAUGAGGGACUUUCAGGGGCAGCUGUGUUUUACUAACCCAGUCAUAAUGCCCCUAAAAAUCCUUAUUGUUCUUGCAAUGGUCAACUGUGACCUCCGGCACGGGGAGGCCUGGAAGGAAAACACUAGCACUCGGGGCUUGGCAAGCGUGGAAGGGCAGGCCUGCCCUGGGGAAGGCUGGCUUGCAAGUCGGGGCAGUGUUUCAGGCCCCAACAGAAAGCGUUUCUGUUGGAGUGGAGCUGAAGAGAUGUGGUGCUGUGAGUCGUACCAAGUAUGUACUUGUGUGAAGCUCAGGGCAAGUGGGGGAAACGAAACAAACCGAAGCGCUUCCCCUCCCUGCUGUGUGUGUCUGGCGUUUCCCCCCAGCAGCGAGGACUGCACCCGCAGGGACGCCCAGCCCCGCCCCAGAGAAGGAGCCGUACCCAAACCCUUCGGCCUCACCCCCGCAAUGCCCUGCUGUACUCCUCCUUCAGCUGACGGCGCUGUCGCUGCGCAGCUCUCCGCUCACCCGCAGCACCUUUCUCUGCGCUUUAUUUCUACUCUCAUUUUUCAGAUCAGACCAGGAUGCAGUAAUUGCAUGCAAAGAAGCAAUUGGAUAAACAGAACCAUAAUAUUCAAUUACUUGCCAUCUUUAUGCAUUCUAAUGCUUCAUUUGCAUUUCUGAGAGCUUCUAUAUGUUAAGCAAAAGUUUGUAUUUUCAUUGAACUCUGCAACAAUGUUCAAAGCUUUUAUCCUUUAAUAACGCUACCUUGGGGUACAGAUAGUCAAAUUAAUCUGGCCCCGCAACAGAAACAGUCCCUUUUCCACUGUCUGGUUGGUUUACUCAUUACCUUUUUUAAAAGGCUUUGUUUAAAGCUUUUAUUAUGUUUAUCAAUUAAUUGAUAUGCUUAUCAAUUAAUUCUGCUUCAUAUGUCAAUGGAUUAGAAAUGCAUGCUUUUUUUUUUCACAGUGACUACACAGACUUGCUUUACACAUCACUUACCUAUCUUUAAUUGGGUUAUAUGGCUCUGGAGCAAGAUUUACUAAUUUGUUAUUUGUUAUUCUCAGGAGCAUUUCAACUGCUUUUCUUAAAGCUGAAUUCUUUGUAAACGAGAAAUGACUAGAAACCCUGAACCGAGUCGCAGGCCUCGCUUAGCUCUGUAAGGCACGCUGCCGUGCUGACGCAAGGCCAGUGAAGGUAUGGUAUGAACGGGAGCUGUACCAGCUGCUGUGGAAUGAGUAUGUUCCUGUGGAGUCAUCCUGCACAGCUACUGCGGAAUCGCCAGCUCUGCGGUGUAAGCAAGCCCUAAAAGACAAUCCUUGUCCCAGUGACUGUGUGACUAGAUAAGACGAGACAAUGGGCAGGAGGAAGGCACCUUGCUAUCAGUUCAGGAGGGGCACUGUUCAGCCAGCUGGGAACAAAGCAACUGGGGCGCUCAAGGCCCCACAGGACUGUCGGAGUGUCCUUCCCUGCAGGCGGAUUCCAGAACGGGCCACUUCUGGAGCUGUUUGUUUCGGGGAUUCCUGCCUUGACACCUUUGAUUUCUGAGACUGCCCCAUCGUGGGAAGCCCCAGACUCUGCUCCUCUCCAUGAGGAUUUCUUCCUCUAGCAACUCCGUCUUCAUUUGAUACUGAAGAGGGAUGGAAGGGCUUGAGUGCUUCCUUGGCACGAUGGGCGGAUGGAAUUACUUUAACCUGUUCUGAUUCUGGUACCUACCAAGCCAACUGGACCCAGUCACCUCAACUGCUAACAGGCUGCAGAGCGACGGCCUACUACAGUGGAAUAUUCUUUGUGCUGAAAACAGGAAGAUCAGGAAUGAGGGUUUGUAACUUUUUUGGAAUGUGUUUCUGUGUUAUAAUUUUUAUCUUUAUCACCACCACCUUACUCAAAAUAAGAAUAUUUAGAUGUUAAAAUAAAUACAUUUUUGCUCUGAAAUGCUGGAAUACACCUCCCCAGCUUCUUCCUCUCUCAGCUCUGCCACUAUGAAGAGAACCCACUCAUGGAUUUUAGAGUCGGAAGGAUGAGCCUGAACCUCAAACAGAGUCACUCCUGCAAUUCAUCCUGAAGCCAGAGCCCUGAUGAACGGAUCUUUUUCUUAUGUGCUGUGGGAUUUCUGCCUAUAUAAAUGUCUGACAAGCUGUUCCAGUGCUUUAUAACCUUGUGUCUUGUACCUUACGGCAAGCUGCAAGUUCCUGCUUAUGCAUCUCGUACAGCCUCUGUGGAUGAAACCCUUCAUGUAUGUGACUGCAUGUGGUGAACAGGAGAGCAGGGUGGUUUGGUGUUAUUUUUAUUCUGUCUGUUCCCAAAACAGCUUUCCCAGUCACGCAGGUCACACACAUCCCCUCCAGUUGCCAUACUGCCUGUCGGCAUGGAGGGAAGUGGAGCAGAGGUCUGUAGGGACACUUGGUAAGUGGCCGGGGCUUAUAUGCAGGAUCCCUCAUGGCUAUCUUGCAGGUGGGAUCCAGCUCUGCUGGUCUCUCUUUAGGACAUUCUCAACAGACCCAUGAGUCUGUUUCUCAGGGCCCAGGCUAAGCCACUAAGAUUUCAAGAACAAAUCUGGCUGGUUUUGGUUAGGGUUUGGGUUUUUUGUUGGGUUUGGUUUUGUGGGUUUUUGUUUUUUUUUUUUUGAAGUUCAGGGUCAUUUAGCACCUCCAAUUUGGCUUGGAAAAAUACAGAAAUACCUAAAAUAAAGGUGCUUUGAAAAGUAUAUGUAGGCAAUCAUGGUUUUUUUCAGACUCAGUCUCAGGUGAUGUCAUUUGUUUUCUACUGCAGAUAAGCACAGCCCCAGACUUCCUUCAGGCUGCCAUCCCUAGUGUAUGCUAAGUAGUAUGAACAUCAAAGUAGAUGCUACUGAAAUAAACCGCCCUGGUAUUCUCAUGCACACAAUUCUUUCCCUGAAAAAUGUAUUAACAGCAGAUGAACUAAACUUGAGCCACCAUUCAUGCUACUUUGCACAUCCAUGAAGGGGCACAGCAUCUAGAUCGGUAAUUGUGUUAGAGACAGACCCGAAGCAGCAAAGACCAAAGGGUGCAGGGUAAGAGCUCAAUAGGGAAAAGAAAAAAAAUCAAAUUUCAAGUACAAGCAAUUCUAUUAAUGUCUUUCAAGCACUAGUGUUCUAGGCUGCAAGGAGUCUCUCACUGCAGGGGACACUUUCUGAACGGCCCUGUAAUGUUACCAGCUGCUUUUAGUGCACAACUCCUGUCCAGUAUGAUGUGGUACAUUCAGUCAAACAGAAAUUAUAUGUCAGCCACGUAAACAGAAUAAAAACAGUGCAGGAAAUACAUUUUGCCUGCAAAUUUGUUGCUUGCUUUUACUGAAGCCCUUUGGUACUUUGCUGUAGUUUCUGAUUAACAGCUGCAUCACAAAGGAAAUACAGUUAUUUAGGCAAACUUUUGUCAUAAUUUAAAGACUAAAUUUUCAGCAAGACUGAAGGAAUCCAAGCUUUCAAGGAACCUUUAAGAUUUAGCAGGUUGUUGUUAAGGUUGGUCUUUUUGGUCCAGAAUUAGCUCUGUUUAACUAAGAGAAUAUUUGUAGGAGUUGGUGGGAAACAAGUAGCAGCUUCUCCAGUGGGAUCACUGGGCCGACAUUCACAAGAGCUGGACACUGUUCUGGUGCCCAGUUUGUAUUGCCUGGAGUUCAAAGGUUGAUAUUUGGUACUUUUUAAAGAGGAAAACCAAAACAAACCCCUGGCAAAGUGAACAGACUUCCCUAAGUCUCAAGUUAAGCACACAAACUCAUCAGCUGAUUUAGGGUAGUGUGACUUGUGUGCAUGCCUUCGUCUCGCCAAGUCUGAAACCUCUGUUAUGGCAUUGGAGCAGGAUUUGUCUUCCUAACCUCAAAGCCCAGCAGAUAGAAAGUCCGCUUGUUACUGAGGCAGAUGCUGCUUUAUAUGCAGCUUUUGAAAAAAAGAAGAAGAAGAAAAAAGUACAUGCUUUUUCCUGACUGUUAAGGAUACAAGAAAAAAGACUGUGGUAUUCCAGAUAAACAGCGCUGCCAGGUGUAAUGGGUUAAAUCCCACAUUAUAACUGUCAGUAGUCCUCUCUGACUGUUUGUCAUGGUGCCCGUGACCUGACACAGUGUGACAGACACCGAAGGGAUCCUUGUCAACUAGUGUCCCUGCAAAACUUUCCCCACUUUUUAAGUUCAUAUUCCUGUAAACUUCAUUUACUCUCUGCAUGUAAAUUCAGACUGGUUCUUUAAGCUCAGUAGCAGCAUGUUCAUAGACAAAGGAUGCAAACAGAGAAAUUUAUAGAGUCGUAGCAAUCCUCUUUGUAAAUCGGGGUACCAGUGAGCCCACGGAGAUGGCCACGAUGCAUUUAUUUAUUAGUCUGUAAUUAAGGGAAGGCAAUGAAGCUUCCUCUGCACACCCCCGGUCUCCUCAGGCUGCUCAUCUGCCUCAUGAGAGAAGCUGAGAAGUACAAGAAUUCACUGCACUCCUGACUCUGUGGAUGAGCAGUUUGUUUUCUCAAACUGCCUGUGACUUUUGUUCAGCAUUUUUAAAGGAAAAAUUAAAAAAAGACUUACUGGUUCUACAGCCUAUAGUUUACAAAUACACUCUUAGUUCAUCCACUUCAGAUGAUUCAUUUACUUCUCCCACAACAGACUGACAUCCCCUAAUUAGUGCCAGCAUAUACAAGAGGCAUUUUUAAUCAUUACAUAAUAAAGUGGAAGAGACAAGGACUAAUGAUACGGUAGAGCCCAAUGACAUUUCCAGUGCUCCAUUAUGUAGGACAGGUUUUGGCCACCAGCCUGUAGGCACAACAGCCAUUACACAUUCAUACCACACUACCGGUUACGGUAUCUUCUGAUUCUUAUGUCUGGCAGCACGGAUCUUAUUCUACGUGUAGUACCAAAUUUUUUGCUCCACGAUAGAUGACAAGCAAAUCUAUGGAUUCCAGUGGACUUCCAAGUAGUUACAGCUUGCUCUUAAUUAGGGAAAGGAAGCCAAAGGAAUCAUGUGCAUUGGAGUCAAAUACCAUUUAUAGGAGUGGGAACUGCAUGUGGAUUUCAACAGUGAUUAAAAUAGCCAGGGACCGAGGCACACUAAUGAUUAAUGGUCUCCUCUGACCUGAAGACAUGUCCUACAGAAUCUGGCCCUCCUGAGAGACACUCCCGAAGUACAGUUUGGCUGAGCCCAUUUUAAAGGCAUGAGCAGGAAUUGGUUGGCUAGGCUUUAUCUUCCUUCGUGUUGUGGAUCAACUGUCACGUGGCUGGAAUCAUUAGAUCCUAUUUCUGACGUGUGUGAUGUACACAAGUAGCUCUAACCCAACCCGAACCAGAGAGCAGUGGUGUUUCCCCACCCCCAGCCUGCCCGGAGGGUGGGCAGCCUGGAGAUGGUACCGUGAGCGCUCACCCCUGCACGCUAAGCCUGGUGCUGCAGUUGGACUGAGACCAGCCCAAAAGUAUGUUAAAGCCACUCAGUUUUUCUGACUCUGUUCUUGUUCACAUUUUGUGACAGUGCUACUUCCUAGACCCCUGCCUGUCCCUCUGGCCAGGGGCUAUCUCUACCACCGAGGAGUGACAUUCCUCAGCAGCAGCAGGUGAUCUCCUGAUGGAGAAUCCUGCGGGACGCAUGCAGCUCCCAAAUUCUGCUGGAGAAUUUUCCACUCUUCCAGAUGUUUUCUGAGGCAGAUGCAGAGAGAGAGACACACACACACUGAUUUCAAACGUUGUGUUGCUUCUAAGCUGACCAGACCACACUGCACCACCCGGGAGAAGGCAAGGUAACAAGUGAAAAUGCCCCACCAGGAGAUACUGCUUCAGGCUGGAGCUCAGCACCUUGUAGAGCAGCAUAUCGCUGCCCUGGGUUCUGUACUUAACACUGGUCUGGUUGUGUCUCUGCUUUGCAGGCAUUUUAUUUUUAUCAUGGGUAAGAGCAGGAAUGUGUGUGUCUCUGUGAGAGAAUGAGCAUGGGGCUGCAAGCUUCAUCUCAGUGCAAAUAAUAUUUUGGCAGGAAACCUGCAGGAGAUUAAAUUAGGGGCCUAACGACUGAAUAUUAAAACAUGUCAAACUUGGUGUUCCUUUAAAUAAGCAGCUUCAAAACAAGGAAGCAGUCUGACAAAAUUAGCAGGUCCAGAGUGCUAAAGGAAUCCACUAUGGGUCACUUGUUUACCGAUGCAGAAUUAAAAGCACCUUUUUUAUUAUUUUUAUUGGUAGCUGUAUAUGUCAACAUGCUAUUUCCUCAAUGCAUUUUGAGUCCAGAUUAGCUAAAGUUUUAGGUGUUGGCAGACUUGCUACAAUAGAAGGGAAAUGCCAGUGGAAUAACUUUAAACAUGAUCCAAUCCCUGAUGAUUCAUUGGAUGUGUUAAAAUUUCCUUUGAGACCAUGUAAGUAAUGCAGGGACUGGAGUGCAGAGUGCCUGUGACUCAGCUCUCUGCGAGGCAACAGGAGGAUGUCAGAAUUACUCACUGGGACAGGAGGAAUCUCAUUUAUCUAUUUAUAGGCAAGGCUGAGAUGAGCUUGUACCAUUAAAGAGCCCAGUUUGCCAGUUCCCGUAAGGGGAGAAGGAGGGAAGGACCUCACUUUAGCUGUUGAGAUAAAAGCUUUAGUAUCAGCCUUCCUCCCCCCCUAUUUCCAAACCUGACGACUGGCCAGCUGUAUUUUCUCGCGCUUGCCCAAGCAGCGCAGGGCUCCUAGCCCCGGGCUCCUCCCUAGCAGUGCUCUGGCCGGGGGCACUGGCUGUCGCUCCCAGCCCUCCCCAGGGGCCUGUGGGAUUGCCCAGUUCAGUGCCCCAGGGUCCGAGGAACUGCCGCCGCAGGAGCAUUACUGUGUCGUGUAUCCAUCUACCAACUUCAUUAACGAAGUGCUCGUUAGAGGCCAGUGCCAGCUUUGCCAACAUCCUGUCUGCUGCACGUUUCUCUCUGAGGGGGUACAGCGUUACCCCUUGGCCGGGUGUUCUGGCUGCCAGCAUCAGAAGAGGAAAGGGCUGGGAGCUGAGCGCGUCCCCUGCUCCCAGCCGAGAGCCAGGGAGGCUGCAGGGAGGCAAGGCAGCGAUGCUGCCAGCAUCAGGACAGUGCUGCCUGAAGACGUGGUUUCAAUCAUGUAGACUCAGGCUUGGGAAGAGAAAGAUGAUGACAUUUUUGGGUAAAAAGCAAAAGCUCAAACUCACAGAAAAAUGUUUUAGAGGAACUGUUUCUGUAAUGCAACCAGACCUCACAGCACUCGCUUUGCCGUAGCUUUCUCAGCAAGAAAGAGAUCAGCACGUGGUAGGGGCAGUGUGAGUCUCAGUUACUGCGCUGCUUCAUCGCUGGGAAUGCAUUUGUGGUCUUAACCUAGGCUGUUCCCUCCAGUUCCCUGCACGUAACCACCACCGUGGCUGACUCCCUACCUGUGGAGUUCUCUAGGAACACAAGGCUCUGGAUUACCGAUCCAGUCUCCCACUAUUACAGUCAAUUACAUCAUAUCACACUUCUUGGCAAGCUAUUCCAGCACUUCAUUUUAAAUUUCCAGCCUUAAUAUCAUUUGUUCUUGUGCCAGCAUCAUAAUUUAGUUUAAACAAUUCUCUUUUUUCUCUGAUCUUUACCUAUCAGAUGUAUUUACUGAAAACAAUCCUAUCUCCUCUAGUCUUUGUUUUGAGAAACUAAACAAAUGAAGCUCUUCUAGUCUCCUCUUGUUCUAAACCCUCUGAUCCUCCUCAAUGGCCUUCUCUGUACCUGCUAAUCUUCCUUGAACAUGAGUGAACCUGUAUCUUCUAGGAUUGUGUUUGCCUUUCCAUAUCAGAUCAGUGGCUCACAGUUAUCCCUCGAAGCAAGUAAUUCUCUAUAUGUUUUUUUUUCCACCACCCUGCUUUUGUCAUUCUCAAGUGAGUAAUGUGAUAUUCCAGUUACUAACUUUUAACUGCAUUUUUAUACCUCGCCUAUUCUAUCUCAGACAAAUUCUGCCAUUCAGUUAUUGCUGAUUGAUGUCGUGAUCCUCCUCUGUAUUACCAAAGCCUGGGUCCUCAGCAAAUUUCUUUACUACAUUCCUACAGCUGUGCCAAAGUCAUUAACAAAACAAGUAAGACUGGCUCAGGACUGACCCUUGAGGAGUUCCAGUUAUUAACUGCCUCUGUCCGGCAUUUCUCCUUUCCACAGAGCUCCCUGUCAUUUGCUUUAGCAGUUCUGCAUUUGCUAUCCACACUAAUCCCCAUCUUCUCAACUUCAACUAGUAAUUUCCCAUGUGCUAUAAUAUCAGAUUCUUGACUCAAGUCUGGAUAGAGUAAAUCACCUGUAUUUCAUUUGUCUAGGAAAAAAAAACCACCAACCAGUCAUCAAAGAGAAAUACGAGGUUAAGCUGAGCUCCUUUAAUGUGCCAGUUCUUUCCAAAUCCUGGGAUGGAAAUCUGCCAGUGCACCUUGAACUGAGCACACUGAAUUCUUUAAGCCUUUCCUUCCGUCUUAUAUGUGAUAAUUUUCGUUCCCUUAUGUAUGUUCCUGCUAGACAUCCUAUCUUUGCUCCACUAUUCAACAAGAUCAUCUCUAUUUAAAAUGUAGGCAAAGUGGUUUUGACUCAUUUUUAGACCAUAUGUAGACUGGCCUAAUGUCAGCCCCAUUCUCACCCCAUAAUGACCACAUUUAUUCUCUUUUUCUCCUCUAUUUAUCUAGCUGAAACCUUCUGCCAUCUGUUUAAUUUCCUUUUCAAAGCCUGAUUCACAACUUUACUUCUGACAUUUCUCAUUCUACCCCUACAUUUCCUGAGCUCAGCAAAUUAAAAUCGGAUGACUAAGGCAAAUCCUGCCUCCGGUCAUCUGCCCCACCACUGUUCUCUGAUGCCGCCCUUGUGGCAAAGAUGACAGGGUAGCUCAGGAAGCAGGUGCAGAGCGGCUGGACUGCACACAUCACUGGCACGACGGCUGCUCAGGACCUGCUGUGUCAGCUGCUUACUCAGCCCCUGUGUCGGGGUGAUGGGCUCCAGCAAAGAGCCGAGCAGGUGCGCGCCCCUGCAGUGGUUCCCCUCCAGACAUCUGAUUUCAGUCCCUGGCCGCAUGCGGACUGAGCGCCCUCUUGCCGAUCAGACCCUCUGCCCACUCCUUGCCUGCUCUCAGUUAACUCCCAACAUGUGUUUGGGACUGGUUAUUUAUCCCACCCGUUUUGGAAUGUUUCCCUACAGGGUUUGUCCUCCUGCAUGUUCCAGCUAGUUUUGGAAUCCAGUUUCCACCACAUUCGACUCCUCGGCUCUUCAGUGCAUUUGAUUCCACUAAUUAGUUCCCUUAAUUUCUCAACAUUUGCCCUUUUUGAAAUGAAUGUGUUUGGUGUAUGACUACAGACAGUGCUGGAGAUUCACCCUAAUGAGGUACAUUUCAAAGCUCCUGUUUCUUAACCAGAGCCUUCAGAGGCUCCGGAUGACUCCCAGAACUGCACUUGCCUUUCCGUGUGUGUGAGCUCAGUAUCACCGAAACACUUCUCACUAUUAACUGGCAUUUUCAUUUUAUGGACAACUGAGAUGUAAAGAGCCUAAAGAUCACAUUUCAGAAGAUACGGCAUUGUAUGAGGAAUUAGUUAAGCACCUAAGGUGAACCGCAGAGCUUCCUGACCCCACUGAGAUCACUGCAGCAGUCUGACCUUGCUCACUCGAAAACUAGGUGUCUGUGCUUUGAAUUCUGUCCAGUUCUUGAAGAGAGCAAACACAUCCAGGCUGCAGAUGGACUUCUCUCAGACGCACAGCCAGGACAGGUCACAGCCGACAGCGGACCAGAGGAGCCCUGCCCCCAAAGCACUUGGCAAAACCAUACUAGUCACCUAAGCCCCUUUACACGUCCGGGCCUUACUGCCACGUAGCGUAGCGGUAUUGAAGGUGGGGUUGGGACCUCCGCAGUGGGCCACCAGCCCGCAGACGGAUCUUCCCCACUCCCUUGGGAACCGCCCUGGGAUCCUGCCCAUGACAGGCGUCCUCGCUUUACCUGCUUUCUCAGCUGCAGAGUGGCAGCAGCAUGGCCCUUGCUCCCCAAAACAGCGUAAGACUGACACGACCACAGCACUAAGGCCAUGCUGCCAUCCUAGACAGACGGAAGCGAUCUUCCACUGGCAAACUGGUGCGUGUUCAAACCCAAAGAAAGGGACGAAAUGGCAGAGCAAAACCGAUUUCUCUCCUUUCCUCUUCUCUCUGUUAAUAUACUUGAAGAUACCUUGGAGUGAGAGAAGGAUGUGCCCCUCUCCCAGAGCAUGUCUGCCUUGAAUGCCCACUGCUCCGCUGGGCACCUGCUGGCCUUGGCAGUGUCACAGGACUCGUGUUUUUCUAAAAGAGUAACCUCCUUGUGAACAGGCUCUCUGCUUUAGGAAACACAAAGCACUUUUGUCUUCCAAGUGUCCUAGCCGUCUUUUCACAUCUGUUGAUUCCUUCACUAACAUUUCUUUUUGGCCUUGGAAGAAAAACACAACUCCACAUUAAAGGGAUGGUGCACUGUUAAACCCACGGGCUGCACCACCCUUUGCUCCCCCCCUGCAAGGGAAGGCAGUGGAGGAGACCAAUAGGGGGGGAAAAAAGAGAGAAAAAUCUAUCGGCUGCUGGGCACAAAACUGCUUUUGCUUUCUAGUGAAAAGGCAGCAGAGCAUCCUCAGAAGCACAUAGCAGCUGGUCAAACAGGCCAGAGCCUGGAUGCCUGAGGCUUUCUUGUAAUCGUAGUAACAAGUCCAGGGGCCACAUUUCCAUUCGUCCUGGAAAGCCUCUGCAGCUGGGAUUGCUCAGGGGAGUGAGACACCAAUGUUCCACAACGCCGUAUGUUGUCUGUGGUGGGGAUAACACUUCGGCAAUCCCAGACUUUACAACAUCACCUAUCAAGGAUACCAAAUCAACAAAACACCCUUUCGUGCCGCUUCCGCACUGACUCCACAGCCCUUCUGGCUACUGGAGAGCCGGCGCUUCGCGACAAGGCUUCUUACGCUUCUGGAAGAGCUUAGGAGGGGUUGCAGGUGAUCUCUGCCUCCUGAGACCCGUAUCAGCUGCACACGCGCUGCUUCCCCGCUCAAGGCUAGCGCUAAGCCAAACAAAAGCGCUGACGCUACCAGUGGAUUACACUCACCUGUUUGACUUUGCAGAGAAGUAUUCACAGACCCAGUGCCAGCUCCAUGCCUGUCACCUCCCAGCAGAGACUUGCAACUGUGUGUGGCCUGAUGCAGCUGCAGAAGGGCCAUCUGAGGGCUCACAAAGCUGAAGUCCGAGGCACAAAGUUCAAGGCGAAGGUCCUGUCGUGACAGUGUGUGUGGUCAAGACCUGCCUGCCUUUGGGGAGGGGCAGAGAGAGCAGGACUGCACCAGGAGCUCUUUGGGCUGGACCCGCAAGAGGCAAUCAGCUCACUUUGGCAACAGCUAUAUGUUUUGGGGCACCUGUCGGCACUCAGCAUUCCACAUCGGGUGGCUGUGCUCCCCUCCUGUAGCGUGAUGACUGAGCUGGCACCUGAGAACAAACUAAUUAAAGCACCCUGCUCUCAAGACCUAUGUGACAGUGACUGCAGCCCUGUUCACUGAAAUCAGUGGGACUCUGGCCACAGGCCUGAUUCAUCUCCCUCCUACAUCAGCACCUUAUCUUACAAGUCCAUUGACUUCUACAAAAUUAGAGCUGUUGGGCCCUGCAUGUCCGUGAGGGCAUGGCUAGGCCAAAGGAAAUGGGGGCAGCAACGCUUGGACAUGAUAGAAAUGGAAACCUCAGGAAAGACUGUGUCUGCCUUGCACGCUUAGCAAGUUAGCAGAACAUUAACGAUGUGUCACUCUAAUAGAGUAAGUGCUUCUAGAUGCUUGGCUGAUUUUGGCAAGGGGCACUUUGAGAAGGAUAAAACUGCAUUUUCAUUGCUGAGAAUCUUCCUCCAGUAAUAAGAUGUGCCCCAUGGGAUGCUGGUAACAUUGGUAUUGUCUGCACAGAGUAGCUAGGGGCUAGGGUCUUCCAUUGCUCAACAGUAUAGACAAAACACUUACCCCUGAGUAUCACGCUAGUCUGGAUCCAGGAUUUACAAGCACAGGGACAGCCACAGGUAGGCUGUCCUCCAAUUAGCCCAUGAAUCUAGAAAGAAAAAAAAUGACGUAAUUUUGUAUUCUUUCCUUUGCAUAUAAAACAUUAUUAAAAUAAUCAGAAAAACAGAUGCAUUGUAUCAGUAACUGACAAAUCAAGAAUUUGGUCAUAGUUGCUCAGGAACCCACAGCCUUGUUGCAAUACCAAUAAUGAUUAUUUAUAGCCUACUAUGCAAGGAAAGUAGUCCAGAAAAACUUGAUUAUUAUAAUGUAAGAGCGUCAUCCCAAGGGAGGAGUCUAGUGCAAGGUGCAGGCAGCCAAGAUCUCACACCAUUUUCUUGUCUUAAAUUAUAAACUUUAUUGUAA